rnacentral:rRNA from 1 species
AACGAACGCUGGCGGCAUGCCUAACACAUGCAAGUCGAACGAGACCUUCGGGUCUAGUGGCGCACGGGUGCGUAACGCGUGGGAACCUGCCCUUAGGUUCGGAAUAACUCCCCGAAAGGGGUGCUAAUACCGGAUAAUGUCUUCGGACCAAAGAUUUAUCGCCCUUGGAUGGGCCCGCGUUGGAUUAGCUAGUUGGUAGGGUAAAAGCCUACCAAGGCGACGAUCCAUAGCUGGUCUGAGAGGCAGAGUAGCCACCCUGGGACUGAGACCCGGCCCAGACUCCUACGGGAGGCAGGAGUGGGGAAUAUUGGACAAUGGGCGAAAGCCUGAUCCAGCAAUGCCGCGUGAGUGAUGAAGGCCUUAGGGUUGUAAAGCUCUUUUACCCGGGAUGAUAAUGACAGUACCGGGAGAAUAAGCUCCGGCUAACUCCGUG